UUACAGGAGUGAACUCUCAUCAUCUAGUACUGUUACAGAUGUGACCUCUCAUCAUCUAGUACUGUUACAGGUGUGACCUCUCAUCAUAUUGUUCUGUUACAGGAGUGAAGUCAUCAUCUAGUACUGUUACAGAAGUGAACUAUUAUCAUCAUCAUCUCGUACUGUUACAGGAGUGAACUCAUCAUCUGGUACUGUUACAGGAGUGAACUGUCAUAAUCUAGUACUAUUACAGGAGUGAACUCAUCAUCUGGUACUGUUACAGGAGUGAACUCAUCAUCAAGUACUGUUACAGGAGUGAACUAUCAUCAUCUCGUACUAUUACAGGAGUGAACUAUCAUCAUCUAGUACUGUUACAGGAGUGAACUAUCAUCAUCUAGUACUGUUACAUGAGNNNNNNNNNNGUGAACUCUCAUCAUCUAGUACUGUUAUAGGAGUGAACACUCAUCAUCUAGUACUGUUACAGGAGUGA
rnacentral:lncRNA from 13 species